AAAGGCAAGAAGAGUUUCCUGAAGCAGAGCAACUGCAGAGAGAAAUUGAGGAACUCCAGGGAGUACAGCCAAACUCAAGGAAGAAAAGGAUGAAAUGAAGAAGGAAUUCGGUGAGUGAAGACCUAUGUACACCCUUGCUGGUGUCCCCACUCCCAUUGCUUGGAUAUUUGGAGAGAGGGGCCAUUUUUCCUGUCUCUCCUCCAUCUCCCUGGAUGCUUCUGAUGGAGAAGGGGAUCCUGA